rnacentral:sRNA from 1 species
UAAUGGACUAUAUUUCUUCGACGUAAC